AUACUUACCUGGCAAGGGAGACACCGUGAUCAAGAAGGCGGUUCACCCAGGUUCAGCCAUUGCACUACGGCUGUGCUGACCCCUGCGAAUUUCCCAAAUGUGGAAAUCUCGAUCGCAUAAUUUCUGGUAGUGGGGGACUGCGUUUGCGCUCUCCCCUG